GGAGGAUUACCCAAGUCUGGCUGAAGGGAACGGUCUUGAAAACCGUCAGGCGUGUAAAAGUGUGCGUGGGUUCGAAUCCCACAUCCUCCU
rnacentral:tRNA from 3 species